AGAAAGCAACUGGACAGUCAUUUGAGUGGGAUGGUGUAAUGUGGUGUCCUGCAACAGCAGGGGGUUGGACCUGAUGGCCUUCAUGGCCCCUUCCAGCCCUACUAUUCUAUCAUUCUAUGAGGACAUGGGGGGUAACCUAUUAUUGCUGGGGGAAUUCCUGAGUUCCAGCGAGUCCUGACUCCACUAUGCCAUUGGCAAAGCAUUAGGGGCAGGCUUCUGGACACCUCUCUCCCUCUUUUGCAUAUCUCUGCUUCUCUCUCUGUUCAGUGGCUGAUUUUCCAGCUCCAAUUGAAAAUUAGAUGCUUCAGAUUGUACACAUGUUUGUGCACAUCCACCCCUUAAUGAAAUAAUGUUUGUAAACAGUUUUUGAAAUGUACAUGUUUUUCUUUGCACAUUUUCUUGAUGAGUUUUUCCUGUCUUUCUGUGGAAUGCACCGCCAGUUUGGGGAGAUACUGAAUUCCAAAAGGGAGAAGCAUCUGGUGCACAUCUAUUUCUGGGUGAUAAGGAUUGGGCAAAUCCAUUUUUAACGAAUCAGAUGAAGCAAAUUUCUCACACAUGCCUAAACAGCAAUAAGUAGCACUUGUGUGUCUAGAAGCAGCCAUCCUUUAAAGGUGCCCCAGUCCUUUUGCUGGAGAAGCUAUGCCCAUGAAUAUAUCCUCUGCCCUAAAAUCUGCUUUGUUUUAGUCAGGUGCAAGACUGCAGCUGCCAACUAAUUUUGUGUAUGUGCAAUAUCAUUUUUAACUGCAUGUAGGGAUUUUCAAACAUUUCUAUAAUAGCAGGGUAGUUUGCUUUUCCAGUAGGAGGCUGCUGAAAAUGAGCUGAUGCAGUUUAGUUGUCAGAAACAUGUUUUUAAAAAUGUAUUUUGUGCAUUUCAUUUAAGUGAGAGAAGCUAGAGAACUUUUUUUUGGUACUGUGUCACUGGCAUGCAAUAAAUAGAGCUGCAAUGAGAAGCGACAGCCUCAUUCACCUUGCAUCCAUGCAGAAAUAACUAAGCCUUUUCCCUGUGUCUUGAAAAGGAAGAAAAAAAGGAGACUGAAAAAAAGAAUUGACCUUGACUUGAAGUCGCACCCAUACUAACGCAUCUGCCCCCAAGAAAUUGAAGCUUUCACUGGCUUUGUACUUUAAUGCAAUAUUACCUCAACUCAUUCAACAGAAGGUAUGAGAACAGGCCUUCCUUCCCUUUCACAAUAUUGCUAGCAGUGGCAGGUAACUUGUUUUCAGCCAACAACAUUCAAAAGACAUCAACAGAACAAAAGAGCUGUUGUCUUUUUAUAGAUUAUGAAGGCACUGGGUGCAAAAUUAGCUAUUUCUCACAGAACCUAGAUUCUUAAGAAUUUCUUAAGCAGACAUUGCUGGUUGUAGGGCUGUAUGUGUGAGGAGCAUGGAUGGCAUAUGUGCACAUGUGUAUUCUAUGGAUUUGCAAUGUUUAGUCUUUUUAUAAAUACAUGUUCAACUUUACCAGCUCCUGGUAUGCAUUUUUUGCCUCACACACUCAGUAUUUCUUCUUUUCCAUAUAAGUGAAAGCCAAAGAUGAUUUUAUUAAAAUACUUGCAUGUACACGGUUCGCCACCUACGAAUUACAUAAAAUUUUGUAAAUGAUAGGUAGGACCCUACCUUCAUACUAAGACACAAAUUGUAUUAACUCGGACAGAUUCAGGUUUCUAACCCAACAUUUAAUAGCAAGACAAACUGAUCCAAGGAGCUUGAGCCCCCUUUGUCUCUGAUGUCCCUCUGGCAGCUUAACAUGUCUGAAAUACAAAUAAGUAGCAAUGCCUCCUGCAUAGGAUCUUGUGAAAGCACGGUAGACUUAAGGCAUGCAAGCCCUACUUCUCACCUCACCCCAUCUGCUACCUUAACUUCUGGUUUUGCUGCAAGUGAGCUUCCAUCAGAAGACCUCUAGAACAGGGUCUCCAGAUGUUUUGGCCUACAACUCCCAUCAGUCUUCUUCACUGGAUAUGCUGAGAUAGUUGGAGUUGUAAGUCAAUAUUUCUGGAAGGCCUCAGGAUGCUUACCCUACUCUUAAAGGAUUCAGUAGGGAUUCAGCUUCCCUCCUCUUGUAGUUGUGGCCAUUCCUUUUGGAAAGUACUUUAGCCCUGAAAGAGUGGCACUUUGGAUUGCAUUCUGUUUUACUCAGGAUAGUGCUGAUCUUGUUCUUUAAGACAAAUGUACAUGACUUUUUUUAAAACUUCCACACUAACUAAGUUUGCUCUGGUAAAUGCUGGCAUUUUCAGUGGCCCUCAUGUAUGGUGCUACCAUUACAUAAUUGUCAGCUCAGAAUUCAAGCUGUCUAAGAGCAGAAUUUGGGUUCAUUUAGCGGUUAACCUGUAGGCUUUUCUAAAGCUCCACAGCAUAUCAUUUUAGUCCAAAACUGCAAAAAGGGAAUUUACCUGUGAGUCUUCCAGCCAUUAACACAAAUCUAUUAAGGUAAUAAAAAUAAUAGUCUUACUGGAUUAAGAUACUAAUUAUUACUGGAUGAGGUACUAAUUAACUGAAAAGUUUCUAUCACUUCCCUCUAGUCAUAUUUUUCUUUCAUUUUAAGCAAAUGAGUACUGGAUCUUUUUCUAGAUCAUUUCAACAUGUAAUUCUGACCUUCCAUUCUAUAAAAUUAUGUUUCUGCACAUUAUCUCUGAAAAAUUCUGCAAUGCAUUUUGCUUAAUCGGAUCUUUGAAGAUAUCCUAUCAAGGCAACAAGGCAAUCUGCCUGCGAGUAUUCCUCCCCUUUCCAAUACAGGCAGAGCAUCAGCGUUUGUGUGUGUGUGUGUGUGUGUGUGUGUGUGUGUGUGUGUGUGUGUGGUUGGGUGGGUGGCUAGCAGGAGCAAACAAUAACUGAAAGAGGAAAUGAACUCCCAUUCUUUUGGCCUGGGAUAAGCAUGUGGCUGCCUACCACUGCCUCAAAUCUGCUGUUUCCCACCAUCAUCAUCUGAGUUGCCAGUUCCAUUUCCCGUAAUGCUCCCCACUCCCAUAGUGUCUCUUGGUCACUGCAGAGAAUUUAAAUGGAAGCUCAGACCCAGGUAAGACCUGGUGCUGAUUGCAGCACUGCUGCUUCUGAUCACCCCUGCCCCCUCCACCAGGUGAGUCCACUGGCCCAAUGCCAUGGGGGGGGGCUCACCAGAGGGUGGCAAGGGCCCCCUAAAACCUGAAGGCGGCCCUGGUCUCUGGCCAAUUCAGGUAUUGCUGUGUUGUAGGUGACACUGGGAGGAUUUCAUCUUGAGCUUGAAUAGCAUGCAGGACCCAUUCCUGGGCCUACUUAGCCUGGGAAAAGAUAUUGUGCUUCAGAAAGCAAGGAGCUCAGAAGUGACCCACUGGGGGCAGUCCUAGUCCCAGUGCGUGUAGUCAUGCUUUCCCUUUGCAGUGGUGCUAGAGCCCUUGUGCUGGCAUCUUGGCAAUGGACCCUUUUGAUGGAAGCAACUGGUGGGUUUGGUGAAAUCGUAUCCCAAAUAUCAGAAUGUGCCCUUAAGUACCAUAAAUGCAUCUAUCCUAAUCAUACAGUUCUGUUGGGUCCCCACAGGUCUGGAUUUUUCUCCAGUGCCCUAGAUCAUGAAGUUCUCUGGAUUUCUUUCCUCACCAGGUGGGUGAUCCUUUUUGUAUGGUAGAGGAGAUUGGGGUGUGCCCUUAGGCAAAUUGUACAUUGUGUGUGUUGCCUAUCAUGUAAACCAGACCCCAUUUGUAUGGUUCUUCCCUCUCCAGGCAAAAGAAGGUGUGUGUCAAUGCAGAGACCACUAGGGAGUCAUGUAUGGGUCUUGAUUGAGCUACCAGACUCUUCUGUUUUAACCUUUGUGAACCAGCCUGAGGAUGUUGCUGAUUGGGCAGAUAAGAAAUGCAGUGACAAGAAGAAAUAAUACAAUAAGCUGCUUUAGUAUUUGUGUACUGGGGAGGAAAGGGGUGCAUUUUCUUGAUUUUUAAAAAAAUCUGUUUAGAAAUUUUGUAGUAGACUAAAGCAUUUCUCCAUAAAUGCAUUCUUUUUGUGAAGUUCACAGUUGCUGAGUUUAUGCUAGUCUAUUUCAAGAAUGCAUCCAUACCUAUAGGAAUAAUAAAACAAUGGAUUAUGAGGGUGGGGGCUUUGUUUGUUUUGGUUUUUGGGACAACUAGAGAAGAGGCCUUUUACACCUCCCUAGUACUGGGAGCCCUACUUUUUGCCUCCACAAUUUACCAUCUUCUCUUUUUCUCUCAGAUGCGCAUACAGAACAUACCUGUUCAGAAUAUUGGUCCAUCUAGCUCAGCAGGUUUUUUCCCAGCUGUACCUGGAAUUCCAGGGACUGAACCUAGAACUUUUUUUUUAGAUCCAAAGUAUCCAUUUUUUCUGGCACUAAACUCUGCCUCUUCCCUGUUGCCCCACAGAGAUGUCUAUGAGAAGAAAGUAAAGUUUGCUAAGGAUUUCACUGAUUCCAGUUGAUAUUCUAGGUAUGUGUGACCUUUCCAUGAGAUAAUUCUCCCUGUUGACUGAAUUCAUUUAGCCCUUUGUCAUGCAUUAAAGGUGCUGCAUCCUUAAUGAACUUAGAUGCUUUGUUGGAUUGUUUUGUAUUUUUUCCUCCACACAACUUUUUUUCUGUGUUAAUUCCAAGGGCUCUUUUUUCCCAUUACACAUUCUUCACUUACCUCUUGGAGGCCCCAUUUCUGCUUUUCAUAACAUUUACCAGUAGCUGUAAAUAUUCCAAUAAUAGACUAGCAUUUGCUGCAGUAUCCAUUGGGUCACAAUGACUAAACUCUGUCAUUGGUUUUGCCUGAGAAAGACAAAUGCCAGCUGUCAUAUUGCCUUAGCAUCAGGUUACUUCCAAACGUAGCACUUGGUUUAUUUUUAGUGGUUAUGUGUGUAGAUUUCUCUUGGUGUAAGUUUUGUCUGCUUCUAAGUGUACUCUGUUUUCAAAACUUCAGCAUAAGUGCUGUCACAUGCAAAAUUUUGUAUUCUGUCUUUAAGAGUACAGAGCAUGAGAAUGUAUUCCUAGAGGCAUGGAGACUUUAUGGUCUGUCUUUAGUUGCAGAUGAUAAUUUUGCUAUGGGUCUGUGCCUGAUGUGUAGUCAUCUGCUGUACCACUUGGGGAAAUACUGGCCCUGAUACUUCCCUGCCAUGAGAGACCUUCCAGCAAGUAGUUGGCUGCUCUGUGCAGAAUAUGCAUUCAGCAGCCUUUGAAAUCAAAUGGGAAAUUUGCCAUUGAUUUCAACAGAACUGGGUUUAUACUCAUACUCAUUGACUGAAUUGAUUUACUACUAAAUACUGCUACUGACUUCCACUUAUGAAAUGUGAGAACUGUACAAAGUUGUUAUCCCUUGAAUCUCUGCUUUACCCUUUUAAAUAUCCAACAGUCAAUAGUUUUUUCCUCAAAAUAAACAUGCAGACUUCCAAAAAUCAUCCAAAGAGGCUUGGAUUGAUUAGGAAAAGGUUGAACAGUGUAUAAUUUUUAAAGGUUUUUAUAUUUUCUUUUCAUUUCCUAGAUUUAAUUUUUCAUAAUGUCUUUGCUUCAUAAAAUUUUAAUUCAUAUUUCAGCCUUUCAUUUUUCAGAUUUGAGUUUGUGUUCUGGAAAAAAAUAUUUCAGAGCAAUUGAGGAAUAGGGAACCUCCCCAGCCAAACAUGGCUGGAGAGGGGAUGAAGCCCAUUCCCACCAAGGACCUUGUUGUUCCAAGAAUCCAUGGUGGGGGUGGCUUCUGCCUGUUUCAGCCUUUUUGUUUUGGUUGGAGUCAGACCUCUCUUGCAGUAAGCCUGCUAGGGAAGUCACCCACCCAGUUCCACAGGCCUUGUUGUCCCAAGGGUGGGCUUCCAUCCAACUCCAGCCAUUUUCCUGCACAUUUUCCUUCUUUCCUUCCAAUGCAAUACCACAGAGGCAGUGAACCUAUUCAGAUUCAUGGGCAUUCCUUCAGUUUGUGAACAACACUGCAGUGGGCUGUCUCAAAAAGGACCAGUCUUUUAAGGAAAUAGGGGCAGAGGAGAGAUCCAGAAGAGGUACAUGAAAGAAAGACUCUGGCUAGUUAAUUCAAAGUACUUUUCAUUCAUGUGCAUGUUGAAUUUGAUAUAUUCCCCCCACCCCCCGGGCUUGUUUCUUCAUCUUUGAGGUGACCCAAAGAGGAUGCAGGGGAAUGUCAUUACGAGCUCCCUAAUUAAGGGCAGCUCAGUGCUUCCGUGCAGAGUAAGGACAUGGGUUCGCUAGUCCUCCCUCUCCUAGCCAUUGGCACACUGUUGCUUCGUUGCUGCUUGGCCGAGUGCAGGUGCCCUUUGGCCUGCUGUGGCAGAAUGUAGGUGCUGAUGCAGCACCAGCGACGCGCUGGCACUGGGUCUCCAGUCGUGUCACAGCUGCAUCCUGCAUAAGAGGACUGGGUGAUUCCCUGUACCAAAGUCAGGAGCUCACAGCCCAGUCAAAGCUGUCUUCUGUAUACUAGAGGAGUUUUCAGGCAUUAUAUUUAUUUAUUCAACUUAUAUUCCGCUGUAACUAGUCCAAAGACUCUCUGAGCAGAUUACAACAAUUUUAUAUAAAAUACCAUCAUAAUAUUGUAUAAGAAUAUUAUAGUAUUCUUAUACUAUUCUUAUAUAGCAUAUAUAGUAUUCUUAUAUAUUAUUAUAGUAUAAGAAUAUUAGUAUCAUUAAGUAGUCAGUCUUCUUGUGAGCUGCCACUGUACUAUUUUUUAAAGCAUAUUUAGAACAUUUUCUAAACAUUUUAUAAAUAUAUUAAAUAAAUAAAUAGAUAAUUUAAGAGCCUUCUUUUCCAUUUUAAGGCACUAAGGAAUGGGUUUGGGCAUUAUGGAAGAGAAAUCUUGACCAAUUAAUUCAACAAAGGCUGAAACCUUGUGCAUAUUUAACAGAGCGUAAGGCACAUUACAUACAUUGCGAUUUGCUUCCAAGAAAACAUGAAUAGGCCUUAGGUUGGCCAUAUACUCAACUUUUCAGAUGGGUCUUUUAUUUAAAGGUGUUCACUGUUUGAAAUGCUGGCCAGUUCAGGCCCAGUCUGCAGAUGAAGAAAGCUGUAAAUGAGAGCAGGGGCUUUGAACUUGCCCCUUGAAAGCUAGCACUUGGAGGGCAUACUGAGCAGGCAUGCAGGUUGCUUGCUCAGUCUUCUGUAUUAUGGUGGGCGGUAUUGCAUUUUUGUUUAAAUUAUAGCAAUUGGUCAUAAAUUGCAUCUGUCCAGUCACAUUAGAGUAUGGACAGUUUUCGCAUAUCCUUGUUCUCUUUUGCCUCUUUUUGGGUGAUAUGUAAGUAGCUACCCUAUUGCAGCUGCCCUCUAAGUUUCUUUUCAGCCUGCUGACAGCAAACAGCAACUUUUUAAAUAAAAAGCCAUAGAUAGGUAUGUAUCAGUCUGUAUUAAAUAUAGAGGAAGCUAAUAUUAGCCACAUGGAAGAAAAUUCCUAGUAUCUACCUCCCUUGCAGAGCUGGGCUAGUUUGGGGGUUUUCAUUUCAGCAGCGCAAGGAAUUAGUCCUGUCAGUUUUGCACGGACAUCAUUUUCAAAAUGUUUUUUCCCUUCAUUCAGGUCCCAUUUCUAUGAAACAGCCAGUUCAUUAUUUCCAGCAAAAGUUGUCCAUGUCAUCCUUUUAAAUUUGUUCCUUUUCCCUCAGUAGGGGGUUUUGCAGAGAAAGUCUUGGCACCCCAGUUCCCAUUGAUCAGCAGGAGAGAGAAGUUUCAAAGAGCUGGCUAUGGCAUUCCAAAUUCAUGUCUGCUUCUGAACGUAAAAUUUGCCCCUAACCCUUCUGCUAGUACUGUAGGAAGAGAGGGUACAAAGAGAGCAAAGAAUCUGAGGUUGAGAGUAUUGGGAAUGGAGGAAAGGCAGUUGUUAUAAAAAUGGAUCAUAUCCUUGAAAGAGCUGGCUUCAUGUUGUUCUGACUUUUCUGGUUGUUGUUAGCUUGGCUUAAGCAAAGCAAGGCUUACAAUUCUGUUAAUAUAUGUACUGCUUUUUAUUUACUUUCUAGAUGAUUUUUCUCCCUCUGAUAGUUUCAUUAUUAGGAAUUCAUUUGGUAUGCAUUGUAUAGCUGUGGAACAAAUGAAAUUGUUUUGCAUUUGGGCGAUGCCAUAUGUAUUUCUGAGAGAAUUUAAUUCCAACUUAGCAUUAGUUAAUGGGCAUUUAAAAUAAACUGUUAACAUUUGGAUUUCUGCUGAUUUCUUUUGACUAAUUGUUUUAUUUGUUUAAUAUGGAAAACUAUUAUAUCACUCUUAGUUUAUGUUUCAGAUGGAGAGAGGGUGGAUUUUUAAGCAGUAAUAUGACUGGUAACAAUUCUUGCAGUUCUUACACAGUUUUCAUGUAUGUCCUAUGAUAAAAUAAGUCUAUUGCUGCAAAUUUCCAGGCAUGCAUAAGCAAGCAUACAGGAAUGCACUGCACACAUGCAGAAGGACCUUUGUACACUGGGCUAAAGCCUCAUGGUUUAAUAUUUACAUCUAUUUACUGUUGAUAUCCCACUUACCCCACAGUGAUUUCAGAGCAGCUCACAGGUAGGCUCAGGUGGUCUCCCAGCCACACAGCACAGAAGCCAGUCCUGCUUGGUUUCACCAGUAGAAGUAUACUAUGUACUGUUAGGCCUUUUCCCAUACAUUAUGUGUAUUAACCAACAGAAACCUCCACUGGUUUUUAUAUAAACUGGGACAAGAAUAAAUAGAUACUAGUUUCUUUUGAGGGAAGUGUGGAAUUAGACUAUAUAAUUCAUUACUAUUGCACAUGCAUGCUGGAUGUGCUGUUAGCUAGGCUGGGCUGGCCUGCACCUCUUUCACACGAGCUGGAUUAGGACUCCUAUUUGUCAGAGGUGUUCAACCACUUUGAGCCUGAAGGCCAAAUUACAAUUUGGAGAAGCUCUAGUGGUGUGGCUCAGGCAUAAGGGAUGGGGCCAAAAUACCUGAAAUGCCUGCAUAUUUUGGUAUGAAGUUCUCUUCUUCCUCCCCCUUCUCCUCUAUUUCCAUCUUCUCCUGCCGGAGGUUGAACAUAAUCAUGGCAAAGCUCUCUUUAGAUAUGGUUGCUCUAAACAAUUAUACUGAAUCAUCUCUGACCCAUUCUCUUAUUUUUUAAAGCCAAGAAGUAGUUCUUCCUACAUUUAGUUAUCCACUUAUUUUCCCUUGAAUAGCUGCAGAAGUCUAUUUUUCAUUUCACAUUAUAUGACCAGAAUGCGCAGUACAGUAUUCGGUGUAUUUGGAAGCAUUGACGCCAACCUGCCCCUGUCCAGGUAGAGAUGCAGCCUAAGCUGGUAGGUGCUGGACAUUUUCUCAGAGGCAGUGCACACCUCUAGUUAUAAAGAAGGUUUAAUGAAUACCCCCUGACAAACACAUUCCUGCCACCCUUCCCAGCACAGGGGGAACACCUGAGAAGAUAAACCAGCCACUAAUAAGAACCAUUUUGCCUGGAUUAAGAUUCAAUUUAUUUGCUCUGAUCUGUGAGGGCUAAAAGAUGUACAGAAUGUGAAACAACCUUGCAUGAGACUUUCAGUUGAAUCAGAAAGUGCUGUUUAUUGAGAUGAUGCAUGUCACAGGCAAAGGCUUUGUUUUUGACCAUGCCCUAACUAAAUUUUCAUUGUUCAGUAGUUCAGUGUUGUAUAUUAAUUAAUGCUCAACUAGAACUUAAACAGGAUUAUAAUGGAGCAGUGGAAGUGUUUCUGAAAGCUACACAACCAGCACAUGAAUUCAUUAUGACUUCAGCAGCUAUGAUGAAUACUAAACAAAUUCAACAUGAUAUGACACUCACAGGCCAAAUAUUGCCUGUAUCAUAAACCAUGGCAAACACACUUCUCACUAUAUUUGGAGGAGUGUGUUACCUAACACCUAAAAAUGGACUUUAUCCUCAAGUGUAUAUUUCUCUUACAUUGACAGUCCUUACAUGUGAAUGCAGCUUAAUUGCCUAUCUGUCUCUUUCAAAGUAAUGAGAUGCACAAGGAAGAAGCAGUUGUAAAGCUGGUGUAAAUAUAAACGCUUCAUAAUGGAAAUGUUCUAACUGUGGGUUGUCUUAUAAAAGUGACAAGUAAUUAAUAAGGAAGGGCUCUGAUUUAAUGCCUGUGACAUGAGAAGACAACAAAAGAGAAGGGAAUUAUUGAAAAUAUUCUUGUAUAUCAACAUAAUUCUCACACCUAUUCAGAGUUCAGGCACUGAUUUCUGAGAUGUAAGAAGUAUGUAGAAAAAUGUUCUCAAGCUAAAGUCAAUGUUGGUUUUAAUCAUUCUGAGUGAUGUUGGACCUUUUUUAAUAGAGUUGAAUGCAAUUACAGGAUUUAGCCCUGCAUAAAGUAAGUGUUCUGUACUAUAGAGUAGAUGUUUUCCAUACACGGGAACUUGCAGCCUCUCUAUACUGAUUGAGCAGGUAGCAGAGUUUAGCUGCAACCCUGAAUCUAACAGGGGGCGUAUCUUGGGCUUUAUAGCAAGAUGCUUCUCUCUACUAUGGCAUGAUGGACAUGCUGUAGGAUCAUUGCAAUUAGGCUUGGAAGAUGGAGACCAGUCUGCAUGGGUUGGUGGUGGUAUUUGGUGCUAAGAUGGCACUGCCCUCCCCCCCCCCCAUGUUUUGUCUGCUGCACACUCAUGCUAUGUACCAUCUGUAGUACUCCACAUGCAAGGGGCAGCCUAGGAUGUAUGUAUAUGGAAAAUUCUGUUUCCAGUUUUAAUGCCACUCAGAAAUCACAAAUAUCCCCCUUGGAAGUCUUUUGUUCUGUGAGCCAGUUUCUUCUUACAGUUUUCCUUACUGUUUCUGAAAUGGCUUUUCAUUCCUCAUACCGUGGAGUAGUGCAGCUGAGGAAUGCAGUCCAUCGAGGGCUUUGAGCAUGUUUAGAAAAUCCUGAGAAGGAAGCCUCAUGAAGGAAACUAUCAUAAGCCACCUUCCUCUCACCCCACGUGUAUUUACUCUGUUGGUAGAAGCUUGUAGGCAUGCAGUGUGUGGAGUUCAGGGAUGUGGCCAGAAGGAACGGUCUUGCUCCUGGUCCACGCAUGGUUUCCAUAGACUUUCCCAAUUGCUGAAAAGGCUGCUACUGGAGUUAUCCAACAGGUGCCUUUGACACUCAUGCCUAUUGCAGUUACCCUAUUAGCUGGGGUAAGAAUUGCAUUUACUCAAGAAUUUAUGGAGGGGGAGAAAGCAGUUUCUGAAUCAGAGGAAAUUAACAUCCUUGAAAUUAACACCCUGUUCUACAAAGAGAUUAUACAAAGACAGAAUGCAACACAUUUAUUGUGUUAUGCUGUAAAUUGGUCAUCUGUAAAAUCUAAAAUGUAUCAGUUCCUUAAAAACUUUCUACAAAUAUUCAGGAAUUUCAAGAUGAAAUGUAGGAAGUUUACAAACUAACUUCAUGGUGGGUGGGUAGAUAGUAGCAGUGCUAGUCUGUUGGAAAAAAGGGGGUGGCACUUUAAAGGCUAAUACAUUUGUUGUGGUACAGACUUUUGUGUGCCGGUGCACACCUGCCCAUCUUAUCAGAUGCCUGAAGUGAUGACACAGUGGAUAGGUCUAUAUCCUAAGUUCAAGGAAAAGUGUGUGUGUGGAGUGGUGGGGGGAGGGGGGAAGGAGGCAGAAAAAGUAAGAGAUGACCAUGCAACACACAAAGGAAAAGGAAAUCCAGUCAAAAGAGUGAAAUAUCUGAUCAGAGUGGUUCACGUUCCCAUCUGAUGAUUAGUGAGCAAACAGAUGUGUACUGUGCAGAUGAAGGACCAUUACUUUGUGUCUUAGGGGAGCUACUCCCAGCUCCCACUAAAGUUUGCUAGUGUCAAUUUGUUAAUCAGAUUACUUAAUGUAUCUGUGCGAUUCCUGAGAUUUCAUUUUUCUGUAGAAAUAGGUUGGCGAAAGUGACAGCUGCUCCCUUGCCAUAGAUGAAAUUGCUGUUUAUGUCAUGCAAAGCAUAUGUAUGUAUAGUUUGACUGUUGCCUGUGAACUGCCAUGCAAAUUUAGACCCAAAGACCUAAGUAAGAACUAUUUACUUAUUUAUUUAUAAACUGCCAAGUACUUCAGAUAGACUGUCUAGGUGGCAUAAAACAGCAAAAUUACAACUAGACAAUAACAUUAAAACCGUCAGUAAAAUAUAAAUAACAAAUUGAUGUUAAUAAUAAUUUUACCAUGAUUAUUCAAAUAACACGUCCAGGUGAGAUGGACAAGAAGAUUUACUAAAAUUACAAUAAAUUAAUAAACAUCUAAAAUUAAUUAUUAAAAUCAAUUAUUAAAAUUAUUAAAAUGACACUGAAAUGAAAGCAGAAAUGGGCAGCCACCAAAAAGACCCUUCUUCUAUUUACCACCCCCUUACCUCCUUGAUGGAUGGCUCAUUUAGAAGAGCCUUUUGCCCAGAUCUUGAAGGGUGAGUAGUCAUAUACAGAAGAAGGUAUCCAGACCCUAAGCUGUUUAGGCCUUUAUAUGUUAGAACAAAACAAUUCCUCUGUAGUAAUCAAAUAGUAAUUUCUGUAGUAAUUUCUUUGGAAAACUAACUUCUUUCUUAUUUGAUUGUUGCAGGAGUAAGUGUCUCAUAGUCCAUCUAUUAAUGUCAGAAGCAUGACACAGCGUCACAGAACAAGUAUUUAUCUUGUGUUCCUGUCGGUUUUAUCCAAGGAGCUCCAGUUUUGACAAUGGAAAUCAGCAGUUGCAGAUUUGAAAUUUUAAUGGCAUCCCAAAUUUCAGAACAAAAUUGUGAGUUCCAUUAUAGAGUUAGAUUUUGGUACUGAAUAUUUUUCUUCUCUCUCUCUCUCUUUUUUAAAGUAAAAUAUUUUUUUAAAAAAAUCUCAGUAGAUUGGCUAGUAUUUUAUCAGGCUCAUAGUCUUCUUGAACGGAUUAGUUCUUGCAAACAUUUAGACUUAUAAUUAACUCUUAAGUUUGACAUAAGGGCCUGAGUUAUGUUUGACAUGGGCCAUAUGGAAAAUCCGUAAUUAUGUGUACAAUGCAAAUAUAAAUAUACAUGUGUUGGCUAAGAAUGCCUGAGAGUUUGUUCUGUGUGAAUUAGUCUGAACUGCAGACCAAUGUGCAUAUUGGAGCCUGGUUUCAGAUUUCACACUGCUCCAUAUUUGGUGACUGUAAUUCUCAAACAGCAUAUAAAACACAUCCUUGAAGAAAAUACAUACUUUAAGAGAAGAUAUGUUUAGCAUGCAUAUUUUGUGAGGUACACUUUUAAAAAUCACAGAUUAAUGUAGAAACAGAAUAGAAUUAAGAACAGCAAAGCUGGCACAGGCAGGGAAUAAUGUGAUCUGCCCACUUGAAAUGCUGCCUGUGCUUGGCAUUGGUGCAGCUGCAGUCAUCCGCUCACUGCUGCUUUCCUAAUGGCAUGCACACACACACACGUUGAUCUUGCACACACUGGAGGUGCAUUUGAAUGUGAAGAAGGGCACUUGCACUUAAUGAUUUUCCUGAUGGCCUGAAUAAGUUAAAGCUCAGACCAUGGUAAUCAGACAAAGACCACACCUACAGAUCCAUGAUAUGACUUUCCUUAAUUAUCACUGGCAUUCUUUUUGCAUCCAAGGAAGAGUGAGCACCUUCAACAGGGGCUCUUGAAUUGUUCAGUAGGAAAUCAUUGCAGAGGGUCAGGGCUUUAUGGAAAUUAUCAAAGAAUUCACAGGAUCAUAGAAUAGUAGGGCUGGAAGGGGCCAAGCAGGUCAUCGGGUCCACCCCCCUGCUGUUGCAGGACACCAAUUUACAACCAUCCCACUCAGAUGGCUGUCCAGUUUUGCCUUGAAUGUCUCUAGUGGGGGGGAGCCCACCACCUCUCUGGGCAGCUGGUUCCACUGUCCUAUUGCUGUGACAGUGAGGAAACCUUUCCUGAUAUCGAUUCCUCUUAGAGGGAACAAUGUACGUAUCACUUUAUUAACGCUUCAGGCAGCUAGACUCCAGUUGUUAGAAUGGAUAUCAAAGAUGUUGUUGUGGCACAUCUUUCAAAAGGUGCUGUUUAUAACAGUGAUGGAAAAAGUCUCUCUCAGUUGCAUUACAAAUGCAGACAACCACCUGAAUAUAAAGAACAUCCAAAGCACAUUACAUUUACAGGACUGAAGCAGUCAGUUCUGCAUGUGCUCCCACUAGCUUGGUCUCUGGCUCCAUGGUUUCUAACAUUUUCUUUAGGCAAAUUCCACCAUGGCACUAAAUAAGAGUAAGGCCCUUCAUUUCUAAGGUACCAUUUUAUUUUGCAGUCAGAAAAAAGGUUGAGCUGCAGUAAGCAUUGGGCUAGAGCAGCUUUAUUUCACAGGCCAGUGAAUCAAUGCCCUUCUUCACCCAUUCUUAUCUUCUUCUAAUAAAAUAAAGUGUACCAUGCAGUACCAUGAUAGCAAAUCUUGCUUUAUACUGAGCUUUCCUUUGUUGUGUGGCUUUCAUAGCUACCUUCAGUAGAUGGUUUAUAUUUUCCAAAUAACUCGAGUACAUAUCAAUUUAUGUGUAAACUCUUGGCUGUUGGACAUACUGUUUCUGAUUAGUUGCUGAAAAUUGAAAUCUGUUCAAUCCUGAAUGGCUGUAGAGUCAUCUGUGGAUGACAGAACUCUGCAGUUCUACAAAAUUAGAAGCUGUAAGGAAUGAAAUCAUGCAGCAAAUUUAAUCUAUUGAAAAAAUGAGAAAACAAAAUAAGGAAUUUUGAGUAUCACAAAAUGUAAUUGUGGCAAAAGUAGACUUAAAACAGCAGCAACAAAGGCAAGAUACUUUGGCUAUUACUUAUUUAGAAAUAUUACCAAAAAGUACCUUUGAAUAAAAGAAUUAUAGAAUUAUUUCUUGUCAUGGUACUUUAAAUUACCUUCACUGUAAAAUGAGGACUCAGGAAGUAAAAUAGUACUUGUAUCCCCUCAUGCCCACAGCCAAACAAAGAAAUGAACAAACAAAAUCCUGAAUGGGAAAGAGUUCUCUUUCCUGUGUGUAAUCCUGACUUUGAUAAAACAAGAACAUUACAAAUUAUAAUGUCUUAUGGCAGCCUUGAGCAGAAGAUGUUUUGAAUUCUAGUCCCAUAAGCCAUUGUCAAUGGUCAGGCAUACUGAAGUUGAAGUCAAAGAUACUAGAGAUCUACUUUCUGCCCACCCUUGCCCAAAUCCAUAGCCUUCAACUCUACCGAAUUAGCCAGGGUAGCUAUGAAUAUCUUUGGAUAAUUCUUGGUUCAACAAUCCUGAUGCAAGUGAAAGAAGAAAGCACAAAAGCAAGACUGCAGCUGGGCAUUAAGAAAUCAAAAAUCAUUGCUAGAGAAGAAUUGCAGAAUGUUGCUGUCAAACAGUGAAGAAGUUGAUAUUGUGAUUUUUCAUACUUAGGCUCAAUCAUCAAUUCAAGCAGACACUGCAGCCAAUAAAUUGAAAGGAAAACUGAGACUAGGGUUGUGAUAAAGCUGCAUGGAAUCAGUCCCUCUAGCAUUUGUGGACUUCCUGUUGUGCUUGGUCCUGUCAUAGAAAGUGGGAUGAGCAAGAGAUAGUUCAUGAUCACUGAUGUCAUGAAGGCAGCACAACCAGCAACCUUCUUCCAUGUCAUGUGUAGCACAAGCAAAGGUUGCUGCCAUGAUGUAGAAGGGAAAUGCUGCUUGCACGGUAGUUGUGUGGGGCUCAGUUCCUGGUAAAUCCCACAUGAAUGUUGGGCACACUCAUACUUUAGGAACAUCAUAAGAAAGCACAUCCCCCUUUCCCUACUGCUAGGGAAAGUCAAAAGCAGCAGUAGAAAAGGGAGAUCAUGUGCUGGAUGGAUUGAUUCCUUAAGGGAAGUUAUGACCUUGAGUUUCUGAGAAUUGAUCAGGGCUAUCACGGACUUUGGAGAACAUUCAUUCAUAGGGUUGCCACAAGUCAGAGACAACAUGACUGCAUGUGACAGCAGCAGCAGCACAUAAUAUUAACACAUUACCUUAAUCCAGUGACAGUCCUGUAAAUGAGAAUCCUCUACACAAAAAUAAUUAUUCGAUUCAGUGUCUUGGCACCAAAGCACACAUCCAUUAGUAGGAGAAUUAGGAAGGAUAGGAGAUGGUGAAAACCUUAUGGAAUUAAUGCUACCCUCUGUGUGCUUGAAGUUUCUUUUCUCCCCAUUCCGCCCAAAGGAAGGCAGUCUCACAGUCAUCUUCUGUUUCCUGUCCUUAAAGCAGAGCCUGCACAUUGAAUAGCUGAGUGACAAGCAAUCUGGCCUAUCCAUAUGACCAUAUUGUUUUCCUCCCCUAAUUAGCCUGAUCCUCACUGUGCUGAUGAGGAAACAGAUGUAUCGAACAGCAAAUUACCUUCAUCUCGCCUCCAAACAAAAAAGACACCGUGCUUAAUUGACUCAUUUGAUCUCCGGCAAUUCAGCGCAAGUAAAGUGGAAAUAUUUGAAAGUGGCACUUCACUUUGGAAGGGAGUGAGGAGGGGAUGUUAUUUUAUUUACACGUAGUAGAAGUAUAUGCACAAAGACAGAAUUUAAAGUGUAUGUUUAAACUGAACACUGUGUCAUGCCAUCCACCUUCAGGCUGCAAAUAGUGUUCUUUCAAUAUGCUUCAGAGAAAUAUUAGCAGAAACAAUGGUUUCGCUAAUAUAAGGGGCAGUUCUCUGAGCCUUCAGUCAUUCUUAGCAAGCCUUCAGUUGGUUACCAGGGUAGCACCUAUUCCAAUUGCAGCUGCGGCCUGUGGUUCCUUCCUGUAGUUUUGUACCCCUCCCCUCAAGGCUUGUGUCUCUUCCUUUUCUUCUGUUUCUUUCCAUCUGAGAAUGGCAUUUGCUAAAAAAUGGGUGGCAUUCUGAAUAUGGCCUUUCAAAAGGGUAUCUUUAUCCAUUUCCUCAAGAUGGUGGUGGGGGUGGGAGAACAGGUUGAAGUGUGGCUUCUGGGCACUGAGGAGGAGGGAAGGUCACAAGGAAGGGAGGCACAUGCUUCACCUGUGGGAAUUGCCUUUCUCCUCCUUUGCUUUUUGUUGCUGUAGCCAGCAGAAGGGGAAGCACAAUUGCAGUUGCACCACACGUAACUUGUGAAUCCGCUCCUCCUUUACAAUUUGAGGGCCAGUACAGACAUUCGAGCCUCCAUAGCAGUGGAGGCUGCUGAAGUUCACUUCUGUGGGGACAGGGCGGACUGCAGGUGUGAGGGCAACCCUGGCAAAGUGUCCUUGUAAGUCAUGCUAUGCAGGUUCCUCUUCUGAAAGCUCCUGCAUGUGUAUUUACCUGGUGUUAGAAGUGGGCUUCCACAGCCCAACAUUCAAAAUGUCUCGCAGUGUCCUGGAGUGCCUGAUGGAGCAAGCCCAAGAGCUAUGCUGCGCCAGGUUUUCUGUGCCUCUGUGGGAAAUUUUAAAUACUGGCUCAUGGCCAUCCGUUGGCCAGCACAAGGGGGACUUGGGCCGAGCUGUUACCUUGGCAGCAAUGUGUUAUGGAGUUACGAUGCAAAUACUGACUAACAGCCUGCAGGGUCAUCAGUUCUAUACAUGAAACACAAUGUUCAGCAGCUUACCUGCCCUGUGCAUAUGGAGAAGGUCCACUCUGAUUGCAACCGUUGGCUCUGUUUUGUACACUCCAUACACAAGAAUGCAUAAACAAAUUAAUUCCUUUUUCUUCUGAGGUUUCAUUAGAUUGAGUUGUACAUUCUCCUUUGCUCUAGUGUCCUGUUCUGUAUAGAACUGAUACAUGUCAAACCUAGAAAAGGUAAUAGUUUUGUCUACAAUGAGGGAAGAAACCUCAUCUGACGAACUGAAAAUCAUAUUGACAUAGUGCAGAGCCUUGGGUUGUUUAUACCACUGAAAUAGAUCUUGGAAGAUGAUAAAAUGUUUUGGAUUAUUCAUUAAUUUCUUUACAUUUCUAGUGAAAUAUGCUCAGGCAAUUGGUUGUUUUUCAUCUGUUUCAUUUGUCUCUUCAGGCUUUUGUGGCACCUGUGUGUUAUGAACUACUCCUUCAAAUAUCUCUUUGUUUGGGAGUUUUAUUUUCCCCAGGCUCAUAUGAACUUCCUCUGAGUUUGUCCUGUUUCUAUUUGUACUUCUCCCCUUAAGGCAUUUCUAAAGGCCUGAUAAUCAUGUGGCUUUUACGUUCAACUGGUAAGCAUCUUAUGGAGGGGAGUUUCAUCUCUCUGUCCCAAAUGUCAGUGGUGUGAAGGAAAUUCUUACAGCCAAAUUCCUCAGAUGUUUUACCUGAAAAGCAACAUUUGCUACAGAUUUCAUAUUUUGUCUGUAUAGAUUGCAUAGAGAGCCUUUGGCUGUUAGGUGGUAUAAAAACGAAACAAAUGAACAAACAAAUAUUUGCCACCAUCUUUUCUCCCAGGAACUCAGGUUGACACAAUUGCUUCCUUUUUUCAUCACAAGCAGCUUUGGAGGUGAAUGAGGCUGAGAGGUAGUGGCUGACCCAUGGUCAGCAAUUGAGGUCCAUGGCUGCAGGGGGAUUUGACACCAAGUGUCCCAAGUCUUUGUCCAACAAGCUGAGACUGGCUUCCUGCCUAAGGACAAUGGGAAUUUUGGUCCAGCACAUCUAGAGGGCACUGGCUCACACUGGCCCUCAUGCUAACGGUAGGUGAAUUCCACUGGGGAGGGCUGGAAUGCUGCAGCAACUGCUGUUAAGGCUCCACAUUUAUAUAGUGCUCAUUUGACAUAACCUUUGCAACAACCUUGUAAUGUAAGUGAGUUGUAUUCUUACCAUGCCUCAAGUGCAGAUGAGCGAUUGCACCUGAGAGAUUCUGGCUUGCUGAAGGUCUCUUAGUGAGGACAUGACAGAAGCAGGAUUUGAACCAGGGACUUUUUCCUAUACUGUGGGGCAGAAUAAAAAUCAAUAAUCAUACCUCCUUCCUUUAGACAUUUUGCCUGAGAAACUUUCAGAUUUGUGUUGAAUUUCACUUUAGGUGGUAUUUUGGAGGCAGGCUUCUUUGGUACAGACCUGGUGCCAUGCUAUGGACCAAUUCAGGAAUCUCAGUAAACCACUCUUUGAAAACUCUCACCUACAUUUGAUCUUGCUUUGUAAUGGCUACCAGCAAAUAUGAAUGGAAGCAACUAAGCAACAUGCUUUGUCUACCAGAAUAUUUGUCUUGCCGCCGCACUCCAAUUUUGGCCUGGAAUAACAUUGCUAGGAAUGUGUAUUGUGGCAAUAAUUUGGCACAUGACAUUUCCCAAAUGGACAUUUCACUGAUGCAGACAGUUAUUCCAUACCUUCCUUCUGUCUGAUUCUAUCCAAUUUACUUUCUGUCAAGGGGAAAAUAUUCAUGACUGGAAGCUUGAACUCUUGCACAGGUUAAUGGAAGUUGAAGACUAAGAAAGUGAAUCAAAUGCACAUCCUUCCUAGUGAAAGGAAUGGACAGUAUCCACAUUUGGAUGUACAUCUGAAUACAUAUCCCAUUAUAAGAAAAGGAAUGCAUCCUAUGGAAAAGUAAUGGAUAGUGUCCUUUGGAUAUGUGUCUGAGUAAGAAUCUGAUUGCCUUCACAGAAUUUCUGUGGAUAGCCAGAGCAUAAGCUGAAAAAUAUUAGGGAGCCUUGGUUGAGGGGCACGCUAUGCUAAGAGACAACAUUGAGUGCGGGCAAAAUGAUGCCCAUGGCUUGUGCGACUGAUGACUGUGCAACCCCAUCCAGAUGGCAUUGGCUGUGCCUCACCUAGGUGCACUGGAACUCCAGAGCCCCAUUUGAAAGACGAUUGUGAUAACUGCUGCAAUUACCUUGCAGGUAUAAGGACCACAAUCAAAGCAACUGCCUGCAGUUUAUCUGGUGCCAUCCUGCUCUGUUUCAGGAGGUACAAAUGCACCUCAAACACUUGUGCCACAGCAGCAGCAGCAGCUUCCAAAAUGCCCAAAGUAGUUUUGCUAGAGCUAAACACAGUUUUUCAAGUGUGAUCUGUGCAGUGCUUCUGUAUUAAGAGACUUCACUUAGAAAUACUGAUCUGAAUUCAUACAACAGGAUCUAUUCCUGGAUUGCUUAAUAUCCCUUUUAAACCCUAUCUCAGCCAUAUCUGUACAAGCAUGCAUAUUUUUAUGGAGGACUGCCAGUAUCAUAGUGAGUGAGUCUUUUCAUUAUAUGUCUUAUAAUGACAUAAGACAUCUUGUCGUAUUCUGUUCUAUAAAUGUUGCAUGGUGCAGAAAGACUAAAGAUCCCCCCAGAUAACUGCUUGUGCUGGAAAUUCAAUCUAGUCCUCUUUCUUUUACCAAGUUAUAUACUGAGCCAAGUAAGCAAAGGCUGUUCUUUAAUUUCUUUACCUCUAAGCUCUCUAAGGCUGUAAGUCUCACAUAUCUGGGAGAAAGCUAGCCUAGAACCUUUCUUCCUGAAACACUAGUUUUCUAUUAGUUAGACUUCCUAUAUGGAAAUUCAUGUACUUGGAAAUUCCAAGCCCUUUCUUGUAGUUCUGGGUGAUUUCCUGAGUCUUAUUGGAAUGUAUGAAGCUGCAGUAUACAGAAUCUAACCACAGGUCAAUCUAGCCCAGGGCUCUCUGCUCUGCCUCCCUCAGCUCCUUAAGGUAUCUUUCCCCAACUUGGUUCACAUGAAAUAUUUUAGACAAGAACUCCCAGCAUUACAACUGGAGAGCAUCAUGUCAGGGAAGGCGGCCAAGGACCUGGGCACAAAUAUUUCCCACUCCUGCAACCAGAGAUCCUUUUAACAUGAGACUCUGAGGAGCGGACCUUUAUAUAUGCUCUACCACUGACUGAUAGGUCCUCUUCUCUGAGGGCUCGAGAGGCAUGGCAUUUUCCUAGAAUGCCUUGUUGAAAACUUCAAUUGUUUGCUUUUGCCUCCGGGCAUGUUGCCUCAUUUACUUCCAGGUGGCAUGUUGUUAACCUUCUGGUACUGUUUCAUAGCAGUCAAUUCCUGUCCACUGUCACUCCUAGCUUAGCAGCAACAGAAAUAGUAUCUCUCACUUUGCAUCAUCAUCACAUUGCAUUUAUACCCCACCUUACUUCUUCUCGUGAGGAACCCAAGGUGGCUUAGCUCCAUUUUAUCCUCACAACAACCGCCCUGUGAGGUAGAAUGGACUGAGACUCAGAGCCUGGCCCAAAGUUACUCAGAGAGCUUCAGAGAGCCAAAUGGGGAGUAGACUCUGGAUCCCUAAGCCCCCAGUCCAACACUCUAACCAGCAAAAAUUGUGUUCUAGACAGAUAUUUCUAUGCACUUUUAAAAAUAUGUAUUUUGUUUUGCCUUUAUAUAUAUAAUUUCUAAGAUUAUGCACAUGUAACUUAUUAUAUGGCUAGAAAGGGAAUUCAUCACUUAGAAAGUAAUAUAAUCAUAUUAUUGCUGCUAUUAUUUUGAUUUAUAUAUUGCUUAAUGCUCUCUGAGAGGUUCACAACAAUUCAGUUGGAUAUAAAUAUAUUAAAAUACUGUGUAAAACUCAAAAUUCAAAGUGUAAAACAGCUUAAACCACUAAAACAAUUUCAGCAAAAACUAGAUCUGUUAAAAGAGCUGACAUAUGCCACCAUUUGCCAUUAACUGGCUGGGAGUAGAGGGCAGUCUUACCUUGGUGCUGAAUAGAUGACCAUGUUGGUGCCAUGUGGCCUCAGUGGGGAAGUAAUUCGGAGCUACCACUGAGAAGGCCCUCCUUUGUGUUGCCACCUUCCAGGGCUUCCUUGGAGGGGGCAGUUGCAGGGAGGCUGCAGAGAUAGAUCAUAGUGUCAAGGUAGAUUGAGUUUUGGUGAGGUGUUCUGUCAGAUAUUGUGGUCCCAAGCAAUAUAUCUUCUUCAGUUGUCAUCCAUUUAACUUCUAAUAUCAGAUACCUGGAGCAGGCUGCUUAGGCUGAAAUUCUGAACAUCCUGAGUAGGAUGUAAGCUCUGUUGAACUCAGUGGAAUUUACUUCUGAGUACACAUACUUAGGACUGUUCUGUAAAUCCUAGCAAAUCACCAAAUGGCAGUGAAACAGGAAUAAGAUGAGGAAAAUUAUGUGGCAGAACCAUAAUAAACAAUAGAAACACCUAGCAGCAUGGCACAAAUAAUUAUCACUCUGUUGUACAACAAUUUUAGAAAAAUUCUCUUCUCUGCUCUCCUCUUUCCUCAGCCAGUCGUUACAAAGGAAUAGCCUCCACAGGUAGUGUAUUUAUUCCAAGGCAUCCCAAGGCACAUGUUCCCCCAAUCAGAAUGUGUAAACAAAAGAAGGAGGUUAAGUAGCUGCUUAAUAAUGUAACAAAAUCAUGGAGGAGAAAGCCCUGUAAAAAGCGAUUAGUCUGAAUAUAAUAAUUAAACAUUUCAAAACAUUGCUAAGAGGAUUGGAGGAACAAGAGCUGAAUGGUUAUUAGUUGCGUACUUCGAGGGGUUCCUGAUAGUACCUCGUGCAUGCCUAAUCCUCUGAGCAUUGCUCCAGCCAGGCUGAGGAACUGUUUCAGUAUUCUGCCGCCUUAGGAGCUGGCGGCUGAUAGACAAGUAUUUAUGUGCAUGCUAUACCACUGGGUCACAGCAGAGCUGGAAAUUAAUUGUUUUUCCUCAGAUGAGUUUUGAAUUCCAAUUGCCCUCACUUUUCUUCCUCUUUUCCCCCUUCCUCAAGAUUUAGUCAAGGCAAUUGAGCUUAAAUUUAAAUUUUCACUACAUCAUUGUGUGUACCAUUGACAGGACUGUAAUUCUGUGAUGGAGACUAGGCCUCAAUUAAUCACCUUUGAACUGAGCAGUUCAGCUAAUUGAACCAAACUUGUUGGGAAAAGACACAAAGUAAUUAGUUUUCAUCUCGUAAGCUGUCAAUAUACAGGGGCUGUAAUAGGUUUUUGUUUUGGGACUACCUUUUAUUACAGAGUAAUAUUGCAUAGUAAAAUGUUAAUUGGCCUGGAAAUCAUACAUUCAAGCAGCAAUC